rnacentral:ribozyme from 13 species
AUUUGAAGAUGGUUUUUCUCCCUUUUUCUUCCUUUUUCUUCCUUUUUCUUUCCCCCUCCUAAUUUCACCCAAAACCAACAGACGCAACCGCACCACAGAAAAAAGAAGGAAAAGGAGAAAGAGAAGAAGAAGAGGAAGAAUCAAGAGGUUUUCGAAUGUGAUCUGUGACAAUAAAACAAAGAAAGGGAUCACAAAGAAUAUUUAUCAAACUUCCUUUUCUAACUUCUCAAAGCUUCGCAACCGCUUUGCCCACUUGAUUAAAUUCCUUUAAGAAAGAUACUG